rnacentral:rRNA from 1 species
AUUGAACGCUGGCGGCAUGCUUUACACAUGCAAGUCGAACGGCAGCGCGGGCUUCGGCCUGGCGGCGAGUGGCGAACGGGUGAGUAAUGCAUCGGAACGUGCCCAGUAGUGGGGGAUAGCCUGGCGAAAGCCGGACUAAUACCGCAUACGACCUGAGGGUGAAAGCGGGGGACCGAAAGGCCUCGCGCUAUUGGAGCGGCCGAUGUCGGAUUAGCUAGUUGGUGGGGUAAAGGCUUACCAAGGCGACGAUCCGUAGCUGGUCUGAGAGGACGACCAGCCACACUGGGACUGAGACACGGCCCAGACUCCUACGGGAGGCAGCAGUGGGGAAUUUUGGACAAUGGGGGCAACCCUGAUCCAGCCAUGCCGCGUGCGGGAAGAAGGCCUUCGGGUUGUAAACCGCUUUUGUUCGGGAAGAAAUCCUCUGGGCUAAUACCCCGGGGGGAUGACGGUACCGGAAGAAUAAGCACCGGCUAACUACGUG